AUUGAACGCUGGCGGCAGGCCUAACACAUGCAAGUCGAACGAGUGGCGGACGGGUGCGUAAUGUCUGGGAAACUGCCAGAUGGAGGGGGAUAACUACUGGCAACGGUAGCUAAUACCGCAUAACACAAGAUGUUCCCAGAUGGUAUUGGCUGGUUGGUGGGGUAACGGCUCACCAAGGAGACGAUCCCUAGCUGGUCUGAGAGGAUGACCAGCCAAACGGGAACUGCUACCCGGUCCAGACUCCUCCGGGAGGCAGCGGUGGGGAAUAUUGCACACUGGGCGCAAGCCGGAUGCGGCCAUGCCGGGGGGAUGAAGAGGGCCUUCGGGUUUUAAGGUACUUUCAGCGGGGAGGCGUUACCCGCACAGGAAGCGCCGGCUAACUCCGUGCCAGCAGCCGCGGUAAUUC
rnacentral:rRNA from 1 species